UCUCCUACGGGGGGCAGCAGUGAGGAAUAUUGGUCAAUGGGCGCAAGCCUGAACCAGCCAAGUCGCGUGAGGGAAGACGGCCCUACGGGUUGUAAACCUCUUUUGCCGGGGAGCAAGCCUGAGCACGCGUGCCCGGAGGGAGAGUACCCGCAGAAUAAGCAUCGGCUAACUCCGUGCCAGCAGCCGCGGUAAUACGGAGGAUGCGAGCGUUAUCCGGAUUUAUUGGGUUUAAAGGGUGCGUAGGCGGAUUUUUAAGUCAGCGGUAAAAUGUCCGGGCUCAACCCGGGCCGGCCGUUGAAACUGGG
rnacentral:rRNA from 1 species